GCCUGGCUGGCUCAGUCGGUGGAGCAUGUGACUCCUGAUCUCAGGGUUGUGGGUUCGAGCCCCACGAUGGGCA